AGAUAAUGAGCUUGUACAAGCAUAUAUUUUGAAAAUAUAAGAAAGGAUAAUUUCCUAUUAUCUU
rnacentral:tRNA from 1 species